UGACCUCAAAUCAGGUAGGACUACCCGCUGAACUUAAGCAUAUCAAUAAGCCGGAAA
rnacentral:rRNA from 1 species